AACAAGGUUUCCGUAGGUGGACCUGCGGAAGGAUCAUUG
rnacentral:ncRNA from 2 species